UUAGCUUUCCUAAAAUGGUCAUGUUACUUGGUCAAUGUUACUUGGUUAUGCUGAAGUGUCAGAAGAGAAAGCAGUAGUUAACAAUUUCUGUCCUAACUGUUUAUUUUGUGUAAAUCAUGAGACAAAAACUGCUUGUGCAGGAGACAGAAAAUCCAUGGUAACACUGCAGGAAGAGGCGCAGAGUCUGGAAAAUCUAGAAAGCAUUCUGUGUGGGUUAUCGUACGGAGCUGCUCUAUAGGACUGCAUGGAUUCAGAAAUGGACUGAUCUGGUCUCCAGUGGGGCACUCAAAUGGGAGGCUCCUUCCACUACACAAAGAUGAAGACGCUGGACUGCAGUCGUGCAUGGUGCUGUUAGUGGAUGACGAGGAUGAUGAGGACUCGUCCGCUUCCAUCGUGUGCUUCCGCCAGUGUGUCUUUCGCCGUGCAUGCACAUCUACUCUUCGUGUUUGGAUGAGUGGUAGAAGAAGAAGAAGAAGAAGAAGAGCACACAGGUUCUGGGCUGUGAUUAGCUGUAGCUCAUCCAGGAUGUCCAUGUGAGCUUGCGACGUCAGCGGAGAUGAACUCAUGACUGUGUCGGAGGAGGACGGAGCAGGAGAACAAACUCAGGGGCAGAUGCCGAGGCGGGACAAGCAGCGGCUAACGGAACAUCACUGCAGAGACAAAACAACAGGUUUCCCCAACACCAGCACCAGCACCAGCACCAGCCUCUGCACCAGCCCCAGCUUCAACUUUACCUUCAUUGCCCUUGUGGUCCUUGUGAAACACUAGGUUUCCCUCCAUAACCAGAUCCUUAUCCAGAGAGCAUAUAAGCUCAUCGUUGGACCGAAAGCCCAGGUUCGCUAUAGUCAGGUUGCGAAGGUAAGUCCUGCUGUAGUAUUGAGAGAGUUUAUUCACAGGGAUCCCUUCUGGGUGUUGCUUCACCAUGGCCACGAUAUCUUCAAGUACAUUUUCCAUCUUGGUUGCUGCCAGGAAAAAGAAAAAAAAAACAUAUUGGAAUUCAUUUUAGACAAAGCAAGUUUAAAACAAUAAUUCAAAGACAAACAAUAAAAUUUAUGCCUAAUAGGAGUCGGAGGUUGUGGGUGAUAUCAGCACACCUCAGCAUGCCUUAUUGUUUUUUUUGGUUGUGGUUUAUUGAUGUCACAUUAUUUUAAUGUUGAUUUCACAUUUUUAUAUAAGUGGUUAACUGUCGGCCUGUGGCAUAUUCUAAGAACUAAAUUCAAAACCGCCCACAUAAGAACAUUACUGGAAGGAUUUUACACUUAAUAAAGAUUGUAUGCUGGUAUGCAACCUUAUUUAGAUUUUAGUUAUUUCAAGAGGGGGGUGCCACAAAAUCCUGUGUCAAAAGAUCUUGUGAGAUUUCUAGUUCAGUCUGAGACGAUGAGAAAUUAAUCAAUUAAUCACACAAUGAAUGAAAAUGAAUUGUAUAAUUUUGUCAUGUUUGUCAAUAUUGUGUCUGUUUUCCUCUUCACCCGCCUCCAAACAGACGUGAAGAGAGUUCACUUUGUGCAUCAGCUUCAGCACCAUAGCGCAUAUGUUGCACAGAACAAUGGCAUGAACGGAGUGAGCCAUUUUGUCUUGUGAGUCUUUGUUUCGGAGGUGGGGCCAGCAGCAGAUCGACAGAAGAGUGUAGCGUAUCAUAAAUUAAAUUAGUAGAUUGCAACACAUUGCUGCCUUGCCACUGGUUGGUGACCAGUCCAGGGUGUACCUCACAACUGAUUUGUUGGUGAACCUUUGGGCUCCACUGUACUAUAAAUGUCUUCCUAGGAAGGAAUUAGAACAAUAGUGGUCAAAUAAAGCUACAGUGUGAACAAACGACAUUCAUGAAUGUGCUUAAUAUAAUCUUGGGUAUAACUUCACAUUCAGCAUGCAGUCAGUCCAUAUAAAAAAAAAAAACCAAGGUGUGUACUGAAUACAUCACACCCAUUUCCAGGCCACUGACCCGUGACCUCUGCCCCACCAAACACGUCUGGCAUAAGCGUAAACAUGGAUUAUGUAACCUCACAAAUGUUCUACUGUAUGAAUAAAUUCAAUAGUGAAAUAAAAUUAAAAAAUCUACUUUAAAAACGUAUUGCAAAAACAGUUGAAGCAAUAUUACCAUCAACUCUUCUACCUCAUUCUGUGUAAACUCAAGAGUCACAUCAGCGUAUACAAUAUACAAUAUACUGUAUAUAUAAAUGCAAAUACUAAGACGGUGUCUUACCUUCUUGUCCAGAGAGGCUUGGACUACUGAAAAAGAGCCAGGCAGCCUUCCUCUUUAAUCGUCUAUUGUCUAAA